rnacentral:rRNA from 1 species
GAUGAACGCUGGCGGCGUGCCUAAUACAUGCAAGUCGAGCGAACAGACGAGGAGCUUGCUCCUCUGACGUUAGCGGCGGACGGGUGAGUAACACGUGGAUAACCUACCUAUAAGACUGGGAUAACUUCGGGAAACCGGAGCUAAUACCGGAUAAUAUAUUGAACCGCAUGGUUCAAUAGUGAAAGACGGUUUUGCUGUCACUUAUAGAUGGAUCCGCGCCGCAUUAGCUAGUUGGUAAGGUAACGGCUUACCAAGGCAACGAUGCGUAGCCGACCUGAGAGGGUGAUCGGCCACACUGGAACUGAGACACGGUCCAGACUCCUACGGGAGGCAGCAGUAGGGAAUCUUCCGCAAUGGGCCAAAGCUUGACGGAGCAACGCCGCGUGAGUGAUGAAGGUCUUCGGAUCGUAAAACUCUGUUAUUAGGGAAGAACAAAUGUGUAAGUAACUAUGCACGUCUUGACGGUACCUAAUCAGAAAGCCACGGCUAACUACGUG